CUCAGGACGAACGCUGGCGGCGUGCUUAACACAUGCAAGUCGACGAUGAUGCCCAGCUUGCUGGGUGGAUUAGUGGCGAACGGGUGAGUAACACGUGAGUAACCUGCCCCUGACUCUGGGAUAAGCGUUGGAAACGACGUCUAAUACUGGAUAUGAUCACUGGCCGCAUGGUCUGGUGGUGGAAAGAUUUUUUGGUUGGGGAUGGACUCGCGGCCUAUCAGCUUGUUGGUGAGGUAAUGGCUCACCAAGGCGACGACGGGUAGCCGGCCUGAGAGGGUGACCGGCCACACUGGGACUGAGACACGGCCCAGACUCCUACGGGAGGCAGCAGUGGGGAAUAUUGCACAAUGGGCGAAAGCCUGAUGCAGCAACGCCGCGUGAGGGAUGACGGCCUUCGGGUUGUAAACCUCUUUUAGUAGGGAAGAAGCGAAAGUGACGGUACCUGCAGAAAAAGCACCGGCUAACUACGUGCCAGC
rnacentral:rRNA from 1 species